rnacentral:rRNA from 1 species
UAAGGUGGUUAUAGUGUCAGGGCUCCACCUCUUCCCAUUCCGAACAGAGAAGUUAAACCUGACCGCGCCGAUGGUACUGCGCAAGUGGGAGAGUAGGUAGCCGCCGCUU